GUCCUCCGGAUAGGGACCUCGAUUGAGAUCAGGUCCGGCACUGCCACGCUGUUCUGGUUUGAUCGCUGGACUGGGGACGCACCCCUGGCGUCCCGGUUUCUGGUCCUGUUCUCCAUCGCGGUGGCCGCCCAGAUCUCUGUGGCAAACGCCCUUCUUGACCUUCGGCGCCUUGCGUUCCGAAGGCCUUUUGGUCCUGCGGAGAAUGCGGACUGGCAGGAAUUGCUUGACUGUGUGGCUCUCCAUGAGACGGAUCUCACGACUGACGAUGACCGCGCCAGAUGGCUCCUUGAACCAUCUGGUCAAUUCUCCACCAAAUCUCUCUAUCUGGCCAUCGCCCCCUCGCCCGGUCAUGAGGCGCUCUCAUCUAUUUGGGACAUUCGCCUCCCAUUGAAGAUUAAGAUAUUCCUGUGGCAGUGGAUUCGUGGCCGCCUAGCAUCUGGCGUUGAGGUUCUGAAACGCAAUGGCCCUGGGGAUGGGCGCUGUCCACUCUGUGGGCCUGAAGAGGAUUCGAACCAUAUCUUCUUCACCUGCGUGUUCGCGCAGUUCCUUUGGAGUUGUUUCCGCGAGAUUGUGGGUGGAAGCUGGGAUCAUACCAACUUCCCUGCUCUCUUUGCCAAACUCCAGGCGAUUCCCCCCGCAUUACGCCGCAUUAGGUGGCUGAUCAUCGGGGUCCUUGCCUGGACGCUGUGGACUGUUAGGAAUAAACUUGUGAUUCAACCUAUCCCUCUUUGUCGUGCUACUACCGCUUUGUUCAAAUGGUCUGGUUACUUGCAGCUUUGGCGGCCGCUUAGCCGCCCCAGGGAGAGAGACGCCAUCACCUCCAUCAUCACUCAGCUUCGCGCGAUGGCUCUCCGACUGGCUCCCCCGCUCCCUCCACCACCACCUGAGCCAGAUUAG
rnacentral:rRNA from 1 species